CGCCCUUAGAGUUUGAUCAUGGCUCAGAUUGAACGCUGGCGGCAGGCUUAACACAUGCAAGUCGAGCGGUAGGGGAGCUUGCUCCCUACGAGCGGCGGACGGGUGAGUAAUGUCUGGGAAACUGCCUGAUGGAGGGGGAUAACUACUGGAAACGGUAGCUAAUACCGCAUAACGUCGCAAGACCAAAGAGGUUCGUCUUGCCAUCAGAUGUGCCCAGAUGGGAUUAGCUAGUAGGUGGGGUAAUGGCUCACCUAGGCGACGAUCCCUAGCUGGUCUGAGAGGAUGACCAGCCACACUGGAACUGAGACACGGUCCAGACUCCUACGGGAGGCAGCAGUGGGGAAUAUUGCACAAUGGGCGCAGGCCUGAUGCAGCCAUGCCGCGUGUGUGAAGAAGGCCUUCGGGUUGUAAAGCACUUUCAGCGAGGAGGAAGGUGGUGAGUAAACUCAUCAUUU
rnacentral:rRNA from 1 species